GUUGCAAGGUUAAGCGGAAAAAGCGGAGCCGUAGCGAAAGCGAGUCUGAAUAGGGCGCAUAAGUAACAGGUCGUAGACCCGAAACCAGGUGAUCUACCCAUGUCCAGGAUGAAGGUAAGGUAAUACUUACUGGAGGUCCGAACCCACGCACGUUGAAAAGUGCGGGGAUGAGGUGUGGGUAGCGGAGAAAUUCCAAUCGAACUUGGAGAUAGCUGGUUCUCUCCGAAAUAGCUUUAGGGCUAGCCUCGAGGUAAAGAGUCAUGGAGGUAGAGCACUGUUUGGACUAGGGGCCCUUCUCGGGUUACCGAAUUCAGAUAAACUCCGAAUGCCAUGUACUUAUACUCGGGAGUCAGACUGCGAGUGAUAAGAUCCGUAGUCGAAAGGGAAACAGCCCAGACCACCAGUUAAGGUCCCCAAAUAUAUGUUAAGUGGAAAAGGAUGUGGGGUUGCUUAGACAACCAGGAUGUUGGCUUAGAAGCAGCCACCAUUGAAAGAGUGCGUAAUAGCUCACUGGUCGAGUGACCCCGCGCCGAAAAUGUACCGGGGCUAAACAUAUUACCGAAACUGUGGAUGAACCUCUUUAGAGGUUCGUGGUAGGAGAGCGUUCUAAGGGCGGUGAAGUCAGACCGGAAGGACUGGUGGAGCGCUUAGAAGUGAGAAUGCCGGUAUGAGUAGCGAAAGAAGGGUGAGAAUCCCUUCCACCGAAUAUCUAAGGUUUCCUGAGGAAGGCUCGUCCGCUCAGGGUUAGUCGGGACCUAAGCCGAGGCCGAUAGGCGUAGGCGAUGGACAACAGGUAGAGAUUCCUGUACCAGUGCUAAUUGUUUAACCGAUGGGGUGACACAGAAGGAUAGGGAAUCGCACGAAUGGAAAUGUGCGUCCAAGCAGUGAGUGUGAGAAGUAGGCAAAUCCGCUUCUCGCGAAGCAUGAGCUGUGAUGGGGAAGGAAAUUAAGUACGGAAGUUCCUGAUUUCACGCUGUCAAGAAAAGCCUCUAGGAAGAGUAGUACUGCCCGUACCGCAAACCGACACAGGUAGAUGAGGAGAGAAUCCUAAGGUGAGCGAGAGAACUCUCGUUAAGGAACUCGGCAAAAUGACCCCGUAACUUCGGGAGAAGGGGUGCUCUAUUAGGGUGCAAGCCCGAGAGAGCCGCAGUGAAUAGGCCCAGGCGACUGUUUAGCAAAAACACAGGUCUCUGCAAAACCGUAAGGUGACGUAUAGGGGCUGACGCCUGCCCGGUGCUGGAAGGUUAAGAGGAGUGCUUAGCUUCGGCGAAGGUACGAAUUGAAGCCCCAGUAAACGGCGGCCGUAACUAUAACGGUCCUAAGGUAGCGAAAUUCCUUGUCGGGUAAGUUCCGACCCGCACGAAAGGCGCAACGAUCUGGGCACUGUCUCAACGAGAGACUCGGUGAAAUUAUAGUACCUGUGAAGAUGCAGGUUACCCGCGACAGGACGGAAAGACCCCGUGGAGCUUUACUGCAACCUGAUAUGGAAUGUUUGUACCGCUUGUACAGGAUAGGUAGGAGCCGAAGAGACGUGUGCGCUAGCAUACGAGGAGGCAAUGGUGGGAUACUACCCUGGCUGUAUGACCAUUCUAACCCGCCACGCUUAGCGCGUGGGGAGACAGUGUCAGGUGGGCAGUUUGACUGGGGCGGUCGCCUCCUAAAGAGUAACGGAGGCGCCCAAAGGUUCCCUCAGAAUGGAUGGAAAUCAUUCGCAGAGUGUAAAGGCACAAGGGAGCUUGACUGCGAGACUGACAAGUCGAGCAGGGACGAAAGUCGGGCUUAGUGAUCCGGUGGUUCCGCAUGGAAGGGCCAUCGCUCAACGGAUAAAAGCUACCCCGGGGAUAACAGGCUUAUCUCCCCCAAGAGUCCACAUCGACGGGGAGGUUUGGCACCUCGAUGUCGGCUCGUCGCAUCCUGGGGCUGUAGUCGGUCCCAAGGGUUGGGCUGUUCGCCCAUUAAAGCGGCACGCGAGCUGGGUUCAGAACGUCGUGAGACAGUUCGGUCCCUAUCCGUCGCGGGCGCAGGAAAUUUGAGAGGAGCUGUCCUUAGUACGAGAGGACCGGGAUGGACACACCGCUGGUGUACCAGUUGUUCCGCCAGGAGCAUCGCUGGGUAGCUAUGUGUGGCAGGGAUAAACGCUGAAAGCAUCUAAGCGUGAAGCCCCCCUCAAGAUGAGAUUUCCCAUUUCUUCGGAAAGUAAGAUCCCUGAAAGAUGAUCAGGUAGAUAGGUUUGGAGUGGAAGUGUAGCGAUACAUGGAGCGGACAAAUACUAAUCGAUCGAGGACUUAACCAAAA
rnacentral:rRNA from 1 species